rnacentral:lncRNA from 1 species
UUUUACGUCGACAGGAGCAGAGCUCGAGCGAGCAAGCGCCGCCGCCGGCCAACACCCACGCCGCCAUUUCCAUUCGCGUCUCCGUCCGCCAGCAGCUCCACUAGCCCCACCACGACGCCCAAGCCUACCCGUUGCUCGUUUCCCUGCCGGCAAGCUUCGAAUCGCCACCGUUACUGUCCGCCGGCCGCCGUCACCCAAUCCACGAGGUAAGCUCCUGAACCGACUGUUUCUUCUCAAUUAACGGGCCUAGGGGCGUCCUGCGAGAGUUUGGAAGCCGAAGGGGGAGUCGUGGAAGCCUCUUGAGCCGUCUCCGUGUGCCGCCAUGGCCGGCAGUUGGCCAAGCCGCAGCCGCCCGUGGAGGGUCCGGCUCGGGCCGCCUCCCGGCGAGCUGGCGGUGGGCGCGGGUGCGCCUGGCCUGGGGCGCCGCCACCCCGUCCCUCUCGGCCGCCGGCGAGCCGCCAGCCAGCGAGCCCCCGUCGGUCCCGCGCGCCCCUGUUUUGGCGCAGGGAGGAAGAAGACAUGCGCCAGGGGGUUGUGAGGAGAAAGAGAAGGAGAAGCAGGCCGGUCAGUGUACUUGGGCCGGGAUGACAAGUUGCGGUAGGAGAGGCCCAGGUGGAGCGGGAGAGAAGGAGAAGGCCAGCGCCGUCUUGGGCCAAGGGGAGGCGACGGCCCAGCUAGCCCGCACGGUGUAAAGAAGAAAGGGAAGAUGGGCCGGCGGAGGAAAAAGAAAGCCGUGGGCCGGAUUGAGCAGGCCGAUUGUCGAAGAAAGAAAAAGAAAAAGAAGAAAUGGGCCGGCCGGGGUUGAGAAAAAGAAGAGAAGGGGGAGCCGGCCCAAAGAGAAGGCUGCCGCAAAAAGGCCACGCGUGGAAGGUUAAGUUGGCGGGCCACUUUUCGGCCCAAAGGAAGAUUUCGGCCGUGGGCCCCGAAGAAAAAAAGAAGGAGAGUAGGAGGCCGGAUGGGCCCUAGGUGGAAGUGAUGGUGGGUAGAAGCAAGUUGGGUGAGAAAAGUUUGGGCCGGGGGUUUUUAUUAAACCUUAGGUUUUCUUUUAUUAGAUAAAUAGAUUAAAUGCUGUUUUCACCAUUUAAUUCACAGGAAAUUCUAGAAGUGUCCAAAAAUUAGUGAAACCAAUUUUAUUAGGAUUAUUUUAUUUUCCUUUAUGCAUUAAAAUUCUUAAACCCUAGGAAAAAUAAUAAAAAUUUAGGUAUUUAUUUAAUGCCUUUUUAUAAGGUAUUUAAAUAAAUGCUUAAACUUUAUUAAAUGUAUAAAACUUGAAAGAUGCUUUAUUAUCCACAAAUUAUUAUUAAUUCAUAGGAAUUAGGUUUUUGAGAUUAGAAAAUUAUUAUAAUGCUUUUAAAAAUAAAAGAAGAGGUCUAAGGUAGGAUUAGUAAAGGAAAUAAAAAUGAUGGGUUAAUCCUUUCGGGUUUUUGUGUGUUGGCUUGCAACUUUAUCAUGAUAAAUUGUAUAGUCCUUGUGGGCUUGCAACUUUAUCAUGAAGGAAAGUUGUAUAGUCUUGUAUUCAAAAGUUUUGCAUCUCUAACUCCUGCAUAUGCUAAAUCGUAGACGUCACAACUCCUGAAGUGGGAAUUCAUGGAAUUCAGCUGGAGAUGGAUAGCUUUCGCAGUGCCUCUUUCAAUAAACAAGUUUUUCGAAGAACUAACCUUGUUGAUCCCAGGCAAGCCCCGGUGCAUUUAUACCUAUCUAUUUUGGAGUCGUUAUUUCAUGUGACUAGUUGUAGGUUAAUUGUUAUAUGUAUGCACUAAGUCUAGGAGUUGAUUGAAACCUAUUCUUGUGUAUGAUCAUGCCUUGAUUUAAGGACAUCUUUGCC